rnacentral:misc_RNA from 1 species
UUUUUUUUAACUUAUUUUUUAUAACACGUCAUUUUAAAUUAAUUUUAAGAAUUUAUAUAGAAUCUUACGAUUCGAUUCAAUUCUCAAUUCACAAAUGAACAUUUCAAUUCUCAAUUCAAACCUCGAUUUGACAACCAUGUUGUUAAGAAAUGGGUGUGUUGGCAGCUUGGGAAAGCAGGCUACUGUCUAAAAAAAAAAAAAAA